UUGGGUGUUUAGUUGUUAACUAAAGUAUUACGGGAUCGAGGCCCGUCGGUCUA
rnacentral:tRNA from 1 species